rnacentral:rRNA from 1 species
UACGUAGGGUGCAAGCGUUGUCCGGAAUUAUUGGGCGUAAAGAGCUCGUAGGCGGUCUGUCGCGUCGGCUGUGAAAACCCGGAGCUCAACUCCGGGCCUGCAGUCGAUACGGGCGGACUUGAGUGUUGCAGGGGAGACUGGAAUUCCUGGUGUAGCGGUGAAAUGCGCAGAUAUCAGGAGGAACACCGGUGGCGAAGGCGGGUCUCUGGGCAACUACUGACGCUGAGGAGCGAAAGCGUGGGGAGCGAACAGG